GACAUAGGUUGCGAACGUUAUCCGGAAUUAUUGGGCGUAAAGGAUGCGUAGAUGGUUUGAUAAGUUAUCAGUGGCAAAUCGGGGCUCAACCUCAUGGAAGUUGGUAAUACUGUCAUACUCGAGUGCAGGAGAAGUUAACGGAACUCUAUAUGGAGCGGUAAAAUGUGACGAUAUAUAGAAGAACACCAAUAAGGCGAAGGCAGUUAACUAUUCUGUUACUGACAUUGAGGCAUGAAAGCGUGGGGAGCAAAACGG
rnacentral:rRNA from 1 species